rnacentral:rRNA from 1 species
AGAGUUUGAUCCUGGCUCAGAUUGAACGCUGGCGGGCAUGCCUAACACAUGCAAGUCGAACGGUAACAGGUCUUCGGAUGCUGACGAGUGGCGGACGGGUGAGUAACGCGUAGGAAUCUGUCUUUGAGUGGGGGACAACCCAGGGAAACUUGGGCUAAUACCGCAUAAGCCUUGAGGGGGAAAGCGGGGGAUCUUCGGACCUCGCGCUGGAAGAGGAGCCUACGUCUGAUUAGCUAGUUGGUAGGGUAAAGGCCUACCAAGGCGACGAUCGGUAGCUGGUCUGAGAGGACGACCAGCCACACUGGGACUGAGACACGGCCCAGACUCCUACGGGAGGCAGCAGUGGGGAAUUUUUCGCAAUGGGGGCAACCCUGACGAAGCAAUGCCGCGUGAAUGAAGAAGGCCUUCGGGUUGUAAAGUUCUUUCGUGGAGGACGAAAAGGUAGGUGCUAAUAUCGCCUGCUGUUGACGUGAAUCCAAGAAGAAGCACCGGCUAACUCCGUGCCAGCAGCCGCGGUAAUACGGGGGGUGCAAGCGUUAAUCGGGAAUCACUGGGCGUAAAGGGUGCGUAGGCGGUGCAUUAGGUCUGUCGUGAAAUCCCCGGGCUCAACCUGGGAAUGGCGGGUGGAAACCGGUGUACUAGAGUAUGGGGAGAGGGUGGUGGAAUUCCAGGGUGUAGCGGUGAAAUGCGUAGAGAUCUGGAGGAACAUCAGUGGCGAAG